GUCGUUCCAAACACAGCAUCAUAUCGCAAGCCUUUAUUGAAUAUCCUCCAUUAUAUCUACAAGCUACACACUCCAAAGUUCAUACAAAAACAUUAAAAUAUUACAAACCUACAUAGCAAUAAACGACAUGUCGGACUAAACAGACAAUCUGACUUUUACACUUACACCAGCUGACUCAACUUCUGCUCAUUCAACGACAUGUCGUCCAUCAUCCAAAGGUCUACAUCAACU
rnacentral:misc_RNA from 1 species